AAAAAAAAACAUGUUUUUUGUUAAAUAACACCCAUACAAAAUAUUUCUCCAAAAGUAGGUUUUACUAACUCUUCGAAAAAAAUCGAUAGAUAAAUCGCUAUGGUUUAGUUAUGUGACAUCUCUAAAUCUUUCAAACUCGAAACGUCACACGGACCAUCCUAGGCGAAAAAGACUAUAGGCAAAUAGUUAGUUGAGAAAAUUCUUAGAUUUAAGCAUUUUACAAUAAGAAGAAGACACACACAAUGACAGAUCAUUACGGACCAUUAUAUCUGUGACAACAAAAAAAAAAAAAAAACCAACUCGAAAGAAAGAAAAGGAAAAAAAAAAAAGAAGACAAAGACAACUGUCACUGUCAUUUAUUGGACACAUUUUCGCAUUAAAGUUCUGCGUGCAUGGUGCAAAUACAUUAAGUCGGCCAAGGAUUAAUCAAUUAAAACAUGUGCAUGCGCAGCCACGUCUAGAAUGACCUGGCAGCGGUUCAAUUAAUGAGGAAAAAGUGUUGCAAUCUGUUCAUGGGGGCAAGACAGGUGCAGAAUAGACCUUUGUCCCUCCGCACCUCAAGGGGCCCACGCGGCGCCGGAACGUAGCGUCAUCGCCAAUGACACGCGUCGCGUAUAACCCAAUGGGCGCGCAAUGGCGGUGGUAAAUCGUUCCAGCACCGCGAGGCCGCAAACCUAAAGGAGCCCCUGAAGGCAACAGUGCGGUGUCUUGGAGUCAGAAAGACGGUUAAGGACGAGACAAUUUGACACACACCAUCCAGAGAUGCAUUCAAGAUCCCUAUUUAUGCAAUCCACGGCCUCUCUGUACUUAUCUGGAGCAAAAGAAAUAUACAUCUGAAGAUCAUCGGCGUAUAAGUGGUGAUGACAAUGUGUUAUAUGUGUUGUUAUGUCGGCACUGUACAGUAUGUAAAGCAAGGGUCCCAAUAUAGAGCCCUGGGGCACGCCACGAGUCACCACCUGCGAGGCGGAACGUGACCCACGGCCAUCCGACUGUAUGAGCUCCACACACUGCCGCCUCCCAGACAGGUAGCUACCGAACCAUCUGACCGCACUUGGAUCGAGACCAUAGUAACUCAUCUUGGACAAAAGCAAAGAUAAAUUGAUGGAAUCGAACGCUCUCGAGAAGUCUAGCAGCAGCAGCAGGGUAACCAUCCCUUGGUCUUGUGCGGCCAAAGCAUUAUCAACAAUAUCUGCCAGAGCCGUUGCCGUGCCAUAUCCCUUCCUAAAACCCGAUUGAAAUUGUGGAAGCAUGCCAUGUCCCUCCAGAUAAACAGUCAAUUGAUCACACACAAUCCUUUCUAGUACUUUGGAGAGACAGGGAAGGAUGCUGAUUGGGCGGAGAUCUUGCAAAGUAGUGGGCUGGCUAUUUUUCGGAAGUGGUUUUAUGACUGCCUCCUUCCAUUCUUCAGGGAACCUGCUCUCAGUAAUGGAGCGGUUGAUUAUAGCUGUGAUAGCGUCUAGUGAAUGAGGCAGAGUGAGCAUGAGCAUCUCCAAUGAUAAACCAUCAUUACCCUGAGCAUUGGAUUUCAGACCUUGAAUGAUCUUAAGUACUGCAUUCGGUUCAACAGUAUGCAAGCAGAAGGAGGACGAAUUUUUAUGCCUAUGGAAUUGAAAGAAAGUAAGCUCUGAUAUGGAUACUCUAUCUACCCCUGGCACAUCGAGGAAAAAAUCAUUAAUAUGGUCCGCAUCAAACGUAGAUGCCAAUCGCCUGAAGGUCGGCACUCAACAAGUCCGGGAGUAUACUUUUAAGAGGCCUGUAUGACACCCAGCGAGGUUUAGGCCUCUCCUUCUUAAUUUUGGACUCCAUCAGAAGCAUUGCAUGUCCUCCCAAAUCAGGAUGACAGUCAACUUGGCGGGAGGCCGAAGACUCUCUCGAGGUCCCCCAUCGAUCGGAGCUGAUAUGCCUGCGCACCAUCACCUCUUCGGGCAAAUAUUCUGCCAUUCUUCGUCCACGAGUACCGCCACUGAAGCCUGCGGCACUCCUCGCGCACGCGGUGGUAGAGCUGGCGGUUGGGACGAGUCAGCCUCUCGUUGAUGAAGACGCGCGCGCCGCCCUCGCCGGCCAGGCCCCGGCGCACGCGCGCGGCCUG